rnacentral:lncRNA from 1 species
CUCUGAACUGCAAAACUUUUCAUCUUGACUGGGAUCAAGGAUAUAGAUUUAAUUUUCUUUUUGGCAGGGUGCCAGUCAUUACUCCAGGAAAUGAACUAAUGCAUUCUUGGAGCUACUGUUGGAUGUGUUCCUCAAAACGAAGUAUUAAAUCAAGAAAGAGGAACUUACAGAAUUCAAUAAUCAACAAAAGAGAAUGAUAAAACAACAUUCACAAGAAGAAAUUGAAAUCCAUACUAGGUAAGCCCAUGAUAGAAUAUAUAACUUCUAUUUAUGAAAGGAAAAAAUCUGGGGG